UCGGUUUCCAGGCUGCAUUGCCUGUUAUACAUUUUGAAACUACUCUUGGCUGGACUCUGAGAGCACAUUGUCCAGGAAGACACACAGACACACAGUGGACAGAGCUUCUGGAAAGGGUAAUAAUCAACAAGUAAUCAGAUACGAAACGCCAAGCAGAAGGGAAAACAAAGGGAAGCCAUUCAGCAUUGCAGAGGAUAAAACCUGUCCUCAGCCCAGCGGGUGAUUGUGGGGAACACAACAGGAGGUAAAAACAGAAAUUUGUCACCUCCAAGAAUAACUUUCACUGGCUUCUGCUCCUGUUCUGGGUCCUGAGUCUGCAGAAAAAAUAAUCGAAUAGAAGUUGAAGUUGUUUUGGACCAUUUGAAAAUGUUGCAGGGAACAGGGGACAGCUUAGGCAGGCAGAUGUGUCUUGAGAUUGUUUUUUAGAGAUGGGAGACCAACGCUUACAGGUCUUCAUGGGUCAGAUUCACAGGUUGGUGCCCACCCAGGUCCCUUAGCCAGUAAGGGUCCCUUCACUGGACUGCUCAUAGGAAAGAACCUGUGAGAGAUGGAGCAGUCUAAACCUGAAAGGCCUAAACUUCAUUGCCUUUCGAUGUCCUAACAGCUGCUUAAUGAAGAUGGCAGCCCCCUGUUAACUAUGCAAAGCAUACUAUGAGAGUGCGUAUCAAAAUCAUCGCUUGCCUUCGCUGGACUUUGGUUUUGAGCCUUGUAUCUCAAAUUGCAUUCAUAAAUGAGUGACCUGCCAAACUAAACAUGCCAGUUGAGAAAUCGCUUUCCCAGAAUUGGUACUUCAGAGAAUUUUAAGUACAUUGGUGGAGGUAGGAGGUAGGUACCAUACAAGCGAGGGCAGAAAACUGCUCUCGGAGGAUGGGGGACAUUGUUUUAUUUUGUGUAUUGUAUAUUUUGUAUAUUGAGUAUAAUUUUAUUGUGAUUGUCUUUUAUUUAUUUUUCCAGGAGAUAAGAGGGUUUUCUAUGAGAGCUCCUAAGCUAGCUGAGCUUGUUGAUAAUAGUUCUAAUGGCCUGCAAAUCCUCAUUCAGCGGAUGGGUCCUUUGGCUGCUUCCAGAGUUUUGCUAAUGGGGACAGUGCUGCUGAGAACACUCUUGGACAACUUCCCACUGCUCUAAGGGCUGCUACUUUCUAGCUGGUGUUUGCAAGACAAGAAAAUCUUUUGGAAGAGGAAGACUUACCCACUGGUUCUUUUGCUUAUUCAAGGCUUGGAUUCAAUCCAGAGUGAUUGACAACAUUGAAAAUGCUGUUGCCUCAUUUAUGAUUAUGGAUGAUGAUCCAAUGUCCUCCAUCCAUGUCCAAAUUCUGGGACGCCAAGAAGAGAAGACUGCCUACGAAUUCCUUGAUUAUGAAAAGGAUGUACGCUGGGAAUUCAACUCACUCCUUCACCAGCUCCUGUGACCUCUCUUUCCCACAAUCAUACAGGAAGAGUGACUGCCAUCUCUCUCUCGGGUAACUCUGCCUUGAGUAAGUAAGCACUGAAAAAACUGUUUAUUUUAUUUUGAGAGAUAUAUUUGCAAUUCUUUAUGUAUCUUUAACAAAUCAUUUUAUUGUUUAUUUACAUUACAGACUAUGGUUCCUUUCCAUGUAGUAGCAAAGUGUAAUUCUUUCAGUAUUCACAAACAUACUAAUGAGUUCAUUAAGAGUCAAAUAAUUAGGAAUUGGUGUUUUAAAUGCCUUAUAUCAUGAAGAAAUCCACAGUGGGCUGUUUUAUAGGUGAUUAAGGAAUAUAGAUGAUAUAGGGAACAGAUUAUUAUUUUUCCCUUUAAUGUAAUAGAAUAUGGGCUUCUGCUAUGCAAAAAUUCACUGUCCAGUGGCAUUUCAGGAAAAGACUAGACUUAAAUAACAAGAGCCCCCUAUAUCUAUUAUUUUUUUCAGCUUUAUUGAGACACAAUUGAUAUAUAACACUGUGUAAGCUUAAGGUGUACAAAUGUUGGUUUGAUACACUUACGUAUUGCAAAAUGAUCACCACCAUAGCGUUAGCUAACACCUCCGUCCCCCUGAGUGACUUUUUAAAAUGACCGACACUCUUCAGGCCCUGGGGGUUCAACAGUAAACACACGGUCUUUGUCUUUAUAGAGCUUACCUUUGGUAGAGGGAGAAGUACACUAAAAUAACAAAUAACAUAAAAUAUGUCAGGCAGAGACGUGUGCUGAAGAGGAAAAUGAGCCAAGCUAGGGAGAUACAGAGAGAAGAGAGAGGUGCUAUUAAUGUAGUCAGAGUCUUUUGGGUACAGUGCAGAAACCCACUGAAGUGUUCAAACAAGGCAUUUGGAUGUCCAAGGAAAGGGCAGCCCAGGCAAGGCUGACACAGGAGGAUGCCCGGUGUGCUUGGGGAAGAGUGAAGGGGCCAGCAUGGCUGGGGAGGAGGAAGCCACGGAGAGACGGGAGGAGGGGAGCUCAGAGAGGUUGGGGGUGGGGAGAUCUCGGAGGACCUUGGAGGCCAGAGUAAGGACUUUGGAUUUUAUCCAGAGAGAGAUGGGAAGCCACUGAAAGUUUUGAACAGAGGAUUGCCAUAACAUAGCUUAGAUUUGCAAAGAAUCAUUCUGGCGAUGGUAUAGAGAAAAUACUGUGUGUGUGCAUGCAUGCAUGUGUGCAUGUGUGCGUGUGUGUGUGUGCGCGCACACGUGAUGGGGAACUGAAGGGUAGAAAUGGGGAGGUCAGUAUGAAGACUGACGCAAUGGUCCAGACAACACAAGUUAGAGGCUUAGACUAGGAUGGUUGCACUAGGAGUGGUAAGAAACAGUGGGUUCUGAAUAUAUUGUGAUAGCAAAGCUGACAUGAUGAAUUGGAGGUGACAGAAACUUGAAGGUUUUUGGCUUGGGUAUGAGGAAGAAGGGAGUUGCCAUCCACCAAGCUGGGGAAGAUUGAGAGAGAAGUAGGUGUGGAUGGGGUGGAGCGGGGGAGUCAGAGUUUAGUUGCUGAUCUGUUAAAUUGGAGAUGCCUCUAGGACAUCCGAAGUGGAAACGUGGUGGUUGAUUAGCUGUCUUCCUGUGCCUGGUACUUCAUCAGUAGACUGGAGCUGUUCACAAUACCUACCUACCCCACUAAAAGACUAAAAGGACUAAAAGAGUUACCAGGUUAAACUACUUUGCAGAGCUCAUGGUAACCACUCACCUGUUAUUGUCAUGAAUAUCUUUGAUUAAGUCACAUUUUCUGAGAAUAUUCAUACAAAAAGGAAGUACGACGUCCCUGAGUGUGAUCGAGCCCAUCCCUAGAGUCAUGGCUUAGAGCCAGAAUGAACUUCAAUCUCCGCUAAUUUGAACCCUCAUUUUAUGGAUGAGGAGAUGGAUGGAGGGCCAGGGAGGCUCGUCGUGAGUCUAGAAUCCGGGUUCUCCAGCCCAGGGCUGCUACCCCGGGAGCCUGUAAUCUUUCCAUUACCCGGUACUUCCCAUGAAACAUUACAUUUUUCCCCCCUGGGGUCUCAAUUUUGAAGGGUGUUUGCUAAAAAUCUGAGAUGAUUCGACAUUUAGUGAGGCUUGUCACAGGUUUAAUCUUCAGAGAGCAGGGAGGCAGUUGAGCCCGGAGAGGAGGUGCCCUGAGUGAGGCUCACAUCCAGCCUCUUUAGAAGAGUGAGAUGUGGGGAAAGUAACACCCAGGUGACCAGGCCUGAGGAGCACGGCCCGGCUUGCCCGGGGGAGGUGAUCCAAGCUGCGAGGUUCUUUUCCUUUGUGGAAAUAUCACAUGAUCAAGCUUCCUCAGUCACACGGCCGUUCAGCCAGAUGGAGUGGAGGACGGGAUAGAUGAAACCACUGCAAAGUUAAUGCCCUUGUAAACGUGGAUAUUUCUAGGACUCUGUAUUUUAUUGUCAUCUAAGAGGUUCCUUUUCUACCUGUACCUCACAUCUCUCCUUGCCCUCUACCCUCCAAUUUCCGGGUUAAUGCUGCUCAGAAAUCACACAUGUCCCGUCUUUUCCAUUUGUCUUGGGAUGCUGAUUAGUACGUAAUCUAUUCUUGAGCCCUUUUGAGAGUCUGAAGUUUCUGCAGAAGUGCUUUGUGGCAGGCCUGGAACUGAGUCCAUCGGAUACCUUUCCACUGAGGCCCACCGUUGCUGUGAGGGCUGGAGAGUCGAGGACUGUUAUCUUCCCAGGGCUUUCUUACUCUGCCCAAAGCAAAGGAAGUCACCAACAUCUCCCCUUGCCCUUGGGAAUAUGCACUCAGCUGAUGACGCUGAUGAUCCAGCAGGCUCUCCCGCAUGCUCAGCUUUGCGGUUUAGCAGAGCACGUUGCGGGUGAGGGGAGGCAGCUGAGCCUAGGCAGCGAGACUUAGUCGGUGCAGGUAGAGUGUGAGAGACCAGAGGGCCUGGACCGUGCUCAGGGCUGGUCUCCUAGGUUCUCUGCCCAGUGUCCAUGCUCCCUCUCCCUUGGUAACUAAUGCUAAUUUUGUUUGUAGCAGGAAUGUUACAAAUUCCUAAUGAGCCAGUGAGAAGCCUUGUGAAUUCGUCUUUGGGUAAAGCUAUUGUUUUUCUGAUAAAAAAGCACAGGAUUGGGAGUAGAAAUUUUGAUCUUGAAAGUGAAAGUCCCACGCUAAGGAUGGCAAAGCAGAAAGACUCAAGGAGUCGGGACUUCUCUGACGCCGCAGACGUGCUGCGCCAGUUCUCCACUUGGUCCUACUGUUUGGUGAGAAGAAAUCGCCCCCAUCGGCCGAGGCUGGUGUAUCAGAGCUUUGUCCGGUGCGGCCGAAAGCAAUCCGAACGGCUGACAGCAUCUCGCCCGUCAGGUGGAAGCUCGGCUCUGCCACUCGCUUGCAGUGGAGCUUUAAGGAAUGGCACUUAAACUCUCCGAGCCUCAGUUUCCCCAUUUCUAAAAUGAGGACAAUAACACCUUCCCUGCAGGAGUCCUGAGAGAAUUCCAGGGGCUUCUGUAAGCCCAGGAUGCAUCACGGGUCACUGCUGCUGUUGACAGCCCCUGGCUCUGCCCCUGUUGGGGAGGGGGAGCCGUGUGGUUUGACAGGAUGGGUAAGCACGGAAGGAGUGUUUGGAGGGGAAAGAGUUCUCUCAGAGGUCAUGAACAGGCCAAGAGAGAUGGAAAACCUCAGAGGACAGAGGAGCCAGUCCAGGAAGCCAAACCCAAAGAUGCAAACUUGCCUGAAGCCCAGGCCGGCUCUGCUAAGUGUCUCAGGUGGGGCCUGUGCAGGGGUGGGCCGGGUAUGCACGUGCAGCGUUUGAGGGGCUGCAGCUGGUGAGGAGUAAGCGCCCGGGGCUGCAGGUAGGUUCUCCCACUUAGGUCAUGAGUGUGAUGAAAGAAAUAGUGUGUGUGUGUGUGUGUGUGUGUGCGUGCACGUGCGUGUGUGCGUGCAUGCAUGUCAGUGUGUGCCGGCCCUGGGGCACUGGUAGGUCAGCCAGUAAUCUUUUAAAAAUGGAAAUCUAAUUUUUCACUUCCCUGUUUUAAAAACCCUUCACUGCUCCUAGGCAUGUAUCCAAGAGGAGGGUUGGGAGUGACAGCUGAGGGGUGCGGGGUUUCUUUUGGGGAGUAAUGGAAAGGUUCCAAAAUGAUUGUGGUGAUGGAUGCAGAACUUGGUGAAUGUACAACAAGCGGUUGAACUGUACACUUUGAAUGAUGAAUUGUAUGGUGUUUGAAUUAUAUCUCAAUAAAGUUGUAAAAAAGGAAAAUCAGGCUUUGUUAGUUUCUUAUUGCCAGCAGGAUAAAGGCUCUCCCAGAACUGGCUUCUGUUGGCUGCCCCAGCCGGAUCCUCUGACCAGCAUCUGUUUGCUCAGGUGCAUCUUUACCUCCAGCCACAGGGAACUAUUUGUCUUCUCCCGGCUGCAUCACGUGGCUUCUGGGUCACGGUGCCUCGUGUUCUUUCAUCUAGUGGAAUCUUAGGUCUGGUCCUGCAAAAGGAAGAACCUUCCUUGAUGCUUUCUGCUCCCCACACUAUUCAUUCAUUUAGCUGUCUAGACUACGGGCAACUUGAAGGCAGGGCCCAUGUCAUGUUUGAUGUUGUGUCUCCGGCCAGCGUCAUUCCAGCGGUGUGGGAGUGGUAGGGGGACUAGCUGAACAGGGAGGGAUUUUCAUUACUGACUUUAUUUGGCAUUGCCUUCACACGGUGAUAAUAAAAAGCAGACUGACACUAGUUUUAUUGUUUUUUUUUUCACAUUUUCUACAAUAUACUCUCUUUUUGCUUUGCACCAGGGCUGACUACUCUCAACCUCCUGGCCUUGGUAAGUAUUUAAUGCAGUGCCUUUGCAUAUAGUAGGCACUUUAUAAAAGAGUCAAGGUGGCUGGAUCCAGAGGCCAGGCAAAGGCUGAGAAGGAGGGAUGUCUCUCGGAAAUUGCCAGAACAAAGGGAUGCCCAACAGACAUGCCAGAGAGAGAGGCUCGGGACCUGUAGAGAGGCCAGGGGCUCAAGGAAGCUGGCAGGUUUGGAGUAUUUAACAAAGCCCUGAAGAAGUCAGAUAGAAAGAUCUACGCCAUUUAAAAUUUCCCCGUGUGCCUUUUUCUUCAACAGCUUCCCUGUACCUCUGUCCCUGUGUUUCCAUUGGUUCUCCAUUCUGGGACCUUCCUCCCUUUCAUCAGCUACAAAGGCUCAUGGCAAAGAUUCUGCCUCUAGGGCCUCUAAGAAAAGCAAACAGCUUCACAUCUCACAAUCCUCAAUUAUUAAGCACCUACUAUGUUUCUGGUACAGUGCCAGACACCUGCUAUAUAUCAGGCAUAGAACUAGGCACUCUAAAUGUAUUCUCUCUUCCAUCUGUUAAUGAAACCCACGAGUAUAUUAGAUAGGGUAAGUAACAUUAGCUGCUGUGACAAACAACCCUAAAAUCUCAGUGGAUUAACACAAUAAGAUUAUUUUUGUUCGUAUCACAGUCCAACAUGACCCGUGUGUGUAUGUGUGUUGGGCUUGGGGGCUUUGCUCUUUGCACUUCUUCCAUCUAGUGGCUCUGCCUCCUGUAGGGCCUCUGAGCCCUCUGCUGGGGUUUUGCAUCCAGCUGGCUGAGGAGGAAUAGACAAGGCAUGGAGGAUUGUGGGAAAAGUUUCAGAGGCCAGGCCUGGAAGCAGCACUCAACCCUUCCAUGCACAUUCUAUUAGCCUGAGCUCAGUCAUGUGGGCACUUCAGGUGAAGCUAAGAAAUCUUGUCUAGCUGUGUGCCCAGAAAGAGAACAAACUAGAUUUGGUGAACGUAUAGUAUUGUGCCUGUCGCAAAGAGAUAGUCCUUGUUGACACUAUUUUACAGAUUGGCUAAUUUUAGUCAUUUUAUAGCCAGACAAUGAGCUUUUUCCCUAAAAUAAAGUCAGGGAAAUCCUCUGUACCUUGCACUUGACACACAGAAAGUACUCAACACUUCUCUCUUGCAUUGGAUUGAAUUGGAGAAGCUAAACUUUGCAGCGGAGCCGGUGUGCAAUUCCCAAAGACAUCCUCACUUCUCUGAGACGUUCUGGUUUCCUACUUUAGCGGGCAGCCCUUCCCCUCUGUUGGAAGGUUGACAGCUGGAAUCCCUGGCUCCCAUCCAAGGCUGAUGUUGCACAGUGAGACUCCUCCUUGCCAGGUGGGCAGCCCGUGGUCCUUUGGAACGCUCCCUCUCUGUGUUUCUUCAGUGGGAUAAGAAAAGUCUAAUGAUGCAGAAAUAGAAGGGAAGUAAGAUGGAGGAGGAGAAGGAGGAAGAAUCUGUUGGACCUGGUAGCACUAUUUUUCUCAUUAAGGAGAAAGAAUAGAUGAUUAUCCCAAAGCAGAGGACUAUUGCCUUAUGAUGAACUGAUUGCUUUAGAGGGAAAUUUUCCCCCUCCUUAUACAGGCAAACUCAAGCCCAGGUUCAAGUGUUGGUCCUGGGCGUUCCACCCUCACCGUUUUGUUCUGCCUUUGCCGUGGGCUAGAUGUUAUAUAUGAUCCUUUAGGAGCACUCCAUCCUCUUGCUCCUUGUGGGUCCUUUCCCUGGGGAAAAGAACCCAUGAAAUUUCAUAUUGUUUCUGACCCAAAUCCUCAACUCAGCAAUACCUAAAGGGCUAUUUCUUUCUUUUUCUCAAUUGUGUUUCCUUUUUUAAAUUUUUCCUCCCAAUGACCUAAUCCACAAUGGUUAUCAUUGUGGAUAUCUGAGAAUAGAUACAAAUGAAGGAGAGCCUGGUACAGGGCUUCUAGAGAAGGAGAAAAAGGCCCCUGAGAACGGAAAUCAUCAAACACAAAGACUGGAGAAACAGCUUAAAGAGCUUCAUCAUUAUUAAUUUAGGAAGCUUAAAGAGGGUUGGCGACCAGAAAAGGGCAGUAAAAAACGUCCUAAUGAUAAGCCUGCCAAGCAUGUGAAGGUUGUCCAAUCCUCAGAGCCAGAAUGAUUGCAGGCCCUUCAUUUCCUUUGUUCUUCCACUGGGACCAGUGGGAGUGGACUGUGUGGGCACCAGGCCCCAGGAAGCAGGCAGUGGAGAGCAGGUCUGCAGCGGGUGGCUGUGCCUGCAGGUUGUUGGCAGGGUUUGAGAAGGCUCAGCAGCGUUGGGCAGUCUAACGGGCAUGUCUAAUCAAAUAUGCAAACUAUUUAAUAAUGGGUUUGGCCUGGACAUUGACCAGUCAGAAUGGAAGUCGCCUGAAUCAGGAUGCUGGCAGGCUCCUCCUGUGCCAAGCUUUGCCCAUUUAGUAAAGUUGCUGAGUUGUGAUGGUGAACUAGGGGUUUUAAGAAAGGGGUGGGGGCCUCUGAG
ensembl:lncRNA